AUAUAUAAAGCAUGCUGAGGUGGCGUCAGGUCAUUUCAGGCUCUUUUGUGUCCAGCAGAGGAGCAGCUCUGUGUCCAGCUUAGAGGACUGGAAGAAGCCACAACCUUCCGCCUGCUGGAGGGUGGAGGAUGGAUGGAGCCUGGAGCCUGGGUCACUACCUCGCUGCGGUUGGUAGUGGCGAUAGAGCAGUAGGAGAGCGGUCAGCAGCAGGAGCUUCUCGUGCCAGGCUGGAGGACUAGAAGGAAGAGGCACUGCCACAUGCUGGAGGCUGGAACCUGUGCCACCAUGGCUCGCCUCGCUGUGGUUGGUGGUGACGUCGGAGACUGCAGCUCAGCCACAGUGGUAGAAAUGUGAUGGGGUAGCUUCCAAGUAAGGGAUGGUUUUCCUCUUCUCGGACUCCAGACUCUAGAAGGCGAUUUUCUCCGCACGAGCUGGAUUGCACGGUAGGGCCUCCACACCCACUGUGAUUUCCCGGCCUGCCCUCAUGCUUUGUGUUGCGAAGACCACCUGGGACUACCGGGCAGGGAGUAGUAUGCACCAUGGGGGAAGUGGGAGACAGGGCACUGUGGGUGGAGGUGUCAGGAAUGGGAACCAGCCCUUGAGUGGGGAGGGCUGGCUGGGUCUGAGUUUUUCCUACUCAGGCUCCCGGAGGAGGGCAGCCUUGGUGGGUCCAGCAAUGCCUGGCCAGCUGGACUUGGCCAGGGGCCGGUUUCAGUGAAGGCACUCACUCCCACCCCAGGCCCCAGUUCCUGGCCAGCUUUUGCCAGAAGGAGAGGUUGGACUUUGGAAGGUGGGUAUGAGUGCCUUCAAUGAAACUGAUCCCUGACACCCAGUCACCAGCAUAACGAGGUGAGGCUCUAAUGGUUCCAAUCCCUGAGUCCUGUUUUGGGCUUUUCCGGCUUUGCUUGCCGAGCUGCUCCAAGCCAGGCUGAAGGAGGAGAAGGAGUCGCCGCCUGUGGUACGGUGGAGCAGAUGACGUGGCUCUGCAGCUUGCCUCAUGCAGUUGGUGAUGGAGAUGGAAACCGCAGCUCUACUGGAGAGAGUAUUGUCAUCUGCAUGGCAAAGGGUUCAUCACCACAUCUUUGCAAGAGGAAAAAGAAGGGGGAAGAAUCAUGUGUAUAAUGUUGUAAGGCAAACAUUCACAACCAAAAACAAGGUUUUAUUAACUUUCGCCUUUAAGAAACUGCAGUGUUUAGCCCUCUUUGAUUCCUAGUAUUAUUGCCUUUGGUAUGAACUCUUCUAUUAAACUGAUCACUCUAGAAGUUUAUGCAUUUUGUAUCAUUUUUCAAGCCAACAGAAAUGUGUAAUGCGUAUAAUUCUGACACUUUAGUUAUUUUUAAGGCUAUGAGCAUGUAAGAUACUGUUGGUAUAUGGAAGAAUAUGUAUAAAUACCACUAGGUAGCUUAUUUUGAAGAGCUAGUAUCUAAAUUUUUGUCCAGAGUAGAUUGGUUGCAGUUUCUUAGGUGUGUUUCUUAAUACGUUGCCUCAAUGUUUUAAAGCAUGUAGAAAUUUGAAUACAGUUUAACUUCAUAUAGUCCUUUGUUUAUAGAUUUAAUAUUUCUAAAGACUAAAGACAUCACAGCUCCCUUUAAGAUUCAGUAAUAUUAAUAAAAUUUUAGAAAUAUAGGGUUAGAAUCCAACAAAUUCAGAGGAAAAUUGUUAAAUUCUAUAGCUGUAGAGCAGGAAUGAAACCCAGGUUCUAAGCUCUAAGGGGGCCAUGAGGUACCAUACAGGUGCAUCAGUGACUGGGCAUAGAUUCAGCAAAAUUACAGGAUGGUUGAGAGAGUGAGCUGUGGAGCCAAACUCUAUGUAACAUGAAUUUUUAAACUGCCUGGUGCCUCAGUUUAUCCAUCUUUACAGUGGGGACUGUAGUAAGUUUUUCUUUUUCUGCUCAGUUGUCUGUCUUGUUGCCACUGUUCCCUAGUCUGUCUUGUUGCCACUCAGUGCCCACAUGAGAGGAUCUAAGGUAAUUUCUGACAGCCUGGGACUCCUUAAAGAAAAACAGAAGGUGCUACAAAACCCAUUUUAGGAGAAACCUCUGUUGUCCUCAUGGAACCCCAAGAACUUCAGGCAGACAGGUCUCUAUCAAAAUCUAAGGCUCUCCUUUGUUUUGUUUUGUGUUAUCUGACCUUUUAGGUUUGGGUGGGCAUCAGAAAUCAGUCGGGGAGAGAGAUCUAAAGAAAGUUGUGGAUAUGAAGAUGUAUUUAUGGUAAGAAAAGUUAUGAAGGAAAGAAAUGUUAUAUGAGAGAGGAUUUUGUAUGGCAAAUUCUUGUCCUAAAGUAGAAUGACUAAUUAUGAAAGGGGGAAAUACAGGAAAAGUCAGAAAGUUCAUGUCAUAGAUGGUCUGUGGAAGUUGUGUUAGGGUUCAUAAAAUGAGAAAGAAAAACUUACAACUGCUAGAUCUUUUCCUGUCUAGAAAUUUGUGUAUGUGAUGGAUAUGUAAAGGAGCCCUAAUUACUUGGCUUAGAAGAAAAGGAAGGCUUUUAAAUAUUUUGUCAGAAAAAUAGAAUCUCCAAUGCCUUUUAUUUCACAUGACUUCAGUAAUCUUUGGGAAAUAAAGACAGUGUUAAAAUCAUUGGUAAAAAAAUCAUCAAAAUUUAUCCAUUUUGUCUAAUUUAAGUCAGAGGUUAAAUUUUAGAAGUGCUUUAACGUCGUAAAUUGAUUGACUUUGGAAAAUUGUUCUGUUUACCUGGUUUGGAGCUGUUCAACUUCUAGGUAAGGCCUGGGGACAGGUGGAGUUAGCCAUGUCUCCUAGCUAUGCUGGAAAGAGUCAGACUUUACCUACAGUUCUGUCUUGUAUCCUAUACACUGCACCUGGUACGUUAUUAAAACUUCCUGCUGCUUCUAAUCUGAGUUCCACUUAAAAUUUUUCCAUCACUUGAAUACUAUCCCCUCUACUAAAUUUUUCCCCAAUUAAAUACUUAGAAUCAUUUUUGCCCACUUGACCCAAGCAUUAGUGAUAUAUCUUUAAAAUACUUAUAAUGUGUCACAAUAUAUUUAGCAAAUGUAGCGAAUGGCAUUUUUACUUUUGUUAGCAUUUACAUAGCAUUUAUGUAGCAAUGCUAUCUCAAGUAUUUUUGGUCAUUUGAAUGUUAGAUAAUAUGCUUUUCCUUUGUUUCUGUGUAAAUAAAUAGGAGAUAUUCAAUAAAUAGUAUCAAUUAAUGUUUCACUUCUAGAAUAUACUUAUUAGGAUUAUUUUUCAACACUACAUCGUAUUUACUUGUUGGCUACAUAAUAAGUUAGAAAUAAUAUUUUGGAUUAACUGUGUGACUCAUGAGAGGGAGUUUGUGCAAUUACAAUCUUUACAAAUUUUUACUUGAUUUUCAAGACUUACACUACAACUGUUAGAACAAGGUAAUAAAUAAGCAUAUCUAUUAAUAUCAACUCUUGGCUUGACCCAAUGAUAGUGUAGGAAUUAACAUAAUUUUUCCUACUAAAGGUAUUGGAUUUGUUUUGAGAGACUGCAGUUUAAAAUCGACAUAGAAAGUUUAAAAAUUGUUAAAUUUUUAAAAUGCCUUUGAAAUUGUAUUAUAGAAAAAUAAAUAUCCUGGUUUAGAUUGGUAGGUUUUUUUUUAAAUAAGGACUAGACCAAGAGAAAGGGAGAGUAGUGAUAAAUGUCCAGGUUUUUAAGUUGAAAAGUGAAAAUCAGUGUAUUACAACGGAUGGAUUUGAUGUCAAAUUACAGAUGCUGAAAACAUUGUAUGUAAUCUACUAGCCAGGGUAAUUAUACAAGGCAAAGAAAUGAAAGGCAUCCAAAUAGGAAAGGAAGGGGUGAGAUUGUCUCUGUUUUCUGAAAAUGUAAUCCUAAUGUAAAGAAAAUCUUAGACUCCACCAAAAAAACCUGUUAAAGCUGAUAAACACAUUCAAUAAAGUUGAGAGUUACAAAAUUAACAUACAAAUAGUAUUCUUGUUUCUAAACACCCAUGACAAACUAUCUGAAAAAUAAAUUAAUAAAGUAAUUACAUUUAUAGUAGCAUCAAAACAAAUAUAUAAGUAAAUAAAAUACUAAGGAGUAAUUUUAAUGAAGGGUGUGAAAGAUGUGUAUACUGAAAAUUAUAGCACAUUGAUGAAAGAAUUUGGAAGUGACAAAUAGAAAAAUAUCCUAUAUUUAUGAAUUCAAAAAAUAAUAUUGUCAAAAUCUCAGUGCUACCCCAAACAAUCUACAGAUCUGAUAUUUGAUAAAGCAAACAAAACAUAAAGUGGGGAAAGGACACUCUUCAAUAUAUGGUGCUGAGAUAAUUGGCAAGCAACAUGCAGAAAAAUGAAACAGUUCUUCAAAAGGUUAAGUAUAGAAUUACCACGUGACUCAGUAAUUCACUCCUAUGUGUACACUAAAAAAAUUAAAACAAACGUCUACACAAAAAGUAGCAUACAAGUAUUUAUAGCAACAAAAAGUAGGAAACAACAGAAAUGUUCAUCAAUUGAGGAGUAGAGUAAUAAAAUGUGGCCUGUCCAUAAAAUAUAUUACUUGGCAAUGAAAAAGAAAAAGGUAUUAAUACAUGCUCCAAAAAGGAUAAACAUUGAAAACAUGGUAAGUGAAAGUAGUGAGUCGCACGUAACUAUAUAUUAUUAUGAUUCCGCUUACAUGAAAUGUCCAGGAUGGGCAAAUCCUUCCAGAAUAGGCAAAUCCUUAGUUAGGAAGUAGAUGGAUGGUUGCCUAAGGCUGGGAGGGGUUUAAAGAAAGAGUGGGGAAAAUGAGGAAAGAUUGCUAAUGGGUGCAAGGUUUCUUUUAAGGAGCAUAA